UCCUCCUGUGGAAGGUUCAGACCUGGCUGCUGUCAUUCUAGGAGCUGAGUAAGGACAUGGCACUAAAGGCUCUCACAACUCAAUACACAGAAUUUAACUUAACCUCCCGAUUUUACCAUUUGCCUUACUUCCCUGAAAUACCCCUGAAGCUGGAGCUCUGUUUUAACUUCUCCAGCGAGAAUGCCUGUCUUCUUCUGUCGGAAUGGGAAGGACUUAGCUGCCUGGAAGCACCACCAUAGAGCCGGCAUCUGGAGCACUAGCUGCUCCUUAUAUGGGCUUAUGACUCGUCUUGUCACCUCAAAGUGACAGGCCACAGACAUCAGCCAGUUUGUCUGCCACGUCCUGUCUCAGUGGAAUAGAAUGAGUUUUAUGUUAUCCUUAUUGAUGCCAGUAUUUUGCAUUAAAUCAAGAGUCAAUUAAUCUUCUCCUAAUGAGUGACAUGUCAUCAGCCUUUGUAAAGACAAGAUGCAUCAGGAAUUUCAAAUGGUGAAGUCUCAUCCUUGUUGUUAGACCUGUGUUUCCAAGAAUCUUGCUAAUCAAGACACAUGCUUACCACGUGAGUCGUGUUCACCCAACUCUGCUAAUUCAGCGCAAUUUAUUUCUAACAAAUUAAUACACAAAGUAUUUUUUUCAAACAUAUAUAUCUGCAUGAUGCUUUAAUCAUUUGUAUCAUUUCUAAACAGAUGUACUAUAUAUACAUUUAUACUUGGAAAAAUUUGGUGUCUUAAGUAUUUAUAAAUCUUAUAAACUUCCUCAGAACAGAUUUCUCUUUUGAUCAAUUCUAUAUUUCAUCAUAAAUUUAAAAAAAAUGUGGCAGUAUAGCAGGGGAUGGUGGCCAAUAUCUCUGGUUUGAGCAGCAGAGGCUGAAAGUGGGAUCCAUUGCUCCAAUAUUUUUACUUUGCAGACCAGCUGAUACUUCUCAGAAGGUGCUUCUGUCAGCUUUUAAGGCUUUUCCACUUCCUUGGGCUUGCUUUCUGAUCAGAGUGGUGGACUGCUGAGGCUGAUUAUCUGUCGCACGAUUUAAUUUCCUUGCGUGCACCAAUCUCAAUACUACUGAAGCUUUACUAAUUAUUACUGUUUCAGAUACCAAGUUGACCAAAGGUGACUAACAAGCACUUGCUGAGUUUCUCUGUUGAUUUUAAAAAUAUACAGUGAAGGGGGCGCCUGGGUGGCUCAGUGGGUUAAAGCCUCUGCCUUCAGCUCAGGUCAUGGUCCCAGAGUCCUGGAGUCGAGCCCCGCAUCGGGCUCUUUGCUCGGCAGGAAGCCUGCUUUCCCCCUCUCUGUCUGCCUCUCUGCCUACUUGUGAUCUCUGUCUUUCAAAUAAAUAAAUAAAAUCUUAAAAAAAAAUACAGUGAAGCUAAUGGGAAUAUUAGUACUCAAAAGUCAAAAGGGGACAUCGGAAGCACUUCAUAGAAUUUGGAGUUUGAAACUGGAAUCUGGUUAAAGUGUGGAGAGUUUGUUUAUUUCACAGCCUUGGGUACUUGAAGAUCAAAUUCCCUUAGAUUAGCAGCUAUGACAGGUGAUCCUGUUAUGCAAUGUAGAAACUCAGGUUUAAUAUGAUCUUGCAUGAAACUUAUUUAGCCAUUAAUUGAAAGCAGACAAAUAGACUGAUUAAGUCAUGAAUUGGCAACUUUGAUCAUUCUCUUUAUUUAUUUCUGUAUUUAGCUGAGUUUGCUUUCUUUAACUUCCCUUCCAGUGUGUGAUCCAUGGACUAAAAAUGCAGGGUUUUUUGUGUGUAUUUUUUUUAUCACAGACUUAAUUUUUUUAAAUAUCUAAAGAAGACUACAAUGAUGUAAAAAUUUUACGGCUGCAUAGUUUCCUUAUUGCCCUUCUUUUCUCUCUCUCUCUCUCUCUUUCCUUCAAACACAUUGCAUGAUUCAUUGUUUUUUUUUUCUCAUAGUUUCUCUAGUAUACUAAAAUUAUGUGGCAUAGGGUCUGUCUCUUUUAACGAUGAGUGUAAAUCACUGGACAUAAUAACUUUAGGCUUUUAUUCCCAUCUCAAAUGUAGUGAUAUACACUGUUACACAAUUAAUUUGGUUAUGUGCUAAAUUCUUUUUUUUAAAUUUUUUUAAAUUUUUAUUUUUUUUGAGAGAUAGAGUGCGUGCUACAGAGGGGCUGGGCAGAAGGGGAGAGAGAGAGAGAAAGAGAGAAUGCCCAGUAGGCUCGAUGCCCAGUGUGGAACCUAAUACAAAGCUUGAUCACAUGACCCUGAGAUCACAACCUGAGUUGAAAUGCAAGAGUGGGUUGUUCAACCAACUGAGCCACCCAGGCACCCCGGUUCUGUGCUAAAUUCUGAUGUUGAAUAGUAUAGUCAAAUCUGGGUUUUAAAGUUUUCGAAGCAACAUGAGAGAUCCCAAUUACAUGUCCUCAUAAUUGCAGAUCUCUGAAUGGUCACGUAUUACCAGAGAAAGAAACUAACAUCUGGGUAACAACAACACUUCAGUAAAAUUAUAAACUGAUAUUUGAUAAGAAAAAAACAUGAGAGCAUCACUUGUUGCCCUUUGGUAUAAAUUAGGCAAUGGAUAAAGUAUUUGCUUUUCUAAAAUGACAAUAAAAGUGACAUUCUAGAUUUUUAAAAAUUGGCCAGCUAUCCUAUUUGCCUGAAAAAAAUUAAAAUACUAAUUAAAUAUCUCUUCUCCCAUAAUUCAGUUUGAAUGAACUUUUCUGAUAAGCCAAAUUCAUUUAUAACAAAGGAAGUCCGUUUUAAUGAAGUUAAGCAGCUUAUAAUAACAAUAAUUAAAUUUUAGCUAAUUGGCAUAAAAAACUUAUUAGAGCAAGUACAAUUCAGCUUUUGAGGAAUGCUUUAAUCUGAUUCACAUUAAUCACUAAGAAAAAACAUGAAAUUUCAAGGAAUGCUCUCUUGAAAGGAAACGAACACUUUAAAUUCUAAUGUUAUAAGUGUAUUAAUAAUUUUCAAUUUUUCAAGGAAAAUACUUGGAAAGCCUGUAUGAAGGAUUUGUCUAAUUCUGUGUAUGUGUUUACUCUAGAUGUCUCUUUUUAGAAAUAUUUAACACUAUAACUUAUAAUGAUAUCUUGAUUCAAAACCAAUCCUCUGCUUUGCUGUUAUAUUGUUACCUUAGACUGCUGGUGUAUAGUAGGUGUUAUGAACUGAUUUGAGCUUCCCCUCCAAAAAAACCUAAUAGAUUGAAACCCUAAACCCCAAUGUGACUGUAUUUGGAGAUGGGGCCUUUAGAGAAUAAUUAAGUUUAAGUAAGGUCAUAAGAGUGAGGCUUUAAUCUAAUAGGAUUGGUGUGCUUAUAAGAAGAGACACCAGAAGUCUCCCCCACCCCUCCACCCCUGCGCCUCUCUCUUCCCCUACCAUCUCUCCACCCCUGUGCAAUUCAGGGGAAAGGCCAUUUGAGGACACAGUAAAAAAAUGGCUGUCUGCAAGCCAGGAAGAGAGGCCUCACUACAGCAAUCUUGAUGGCAAUUUGAUCUUGGACUCUUAGUCUCCAGAACCGUGUGACAAUAAAUUUCUGUUGUUCAA